GGUUCUGGCAGGAGGUGGGAAGGCCUUUCUUGGAGACAGCUGACGUUGCUUGCUAGUUAGAAUCUCAGACAAAAGGCUGCUGGGUUUUUUGUUGUUGUUUCUUUUUUUAAUGUAAUCCACUAUUUUUUUUUUUAAAUGUGGACCUUUUUUUUUUUUUUAAGUCACUGAAUUUGUUACAAUAUUGCUUCUGUUUCAUGUUUUUGGUGGUUUGGCCAAAAGGAAUGUGGGAUCUGAGCUCCCCGACCAGAGAUCAAACCCACGCCUGCACUGGAGGGCAGUCUUAACCACUGGGCCGCCAGGAGAAGUCUUAACCGCUGGACCACCAGGCAAAGCCUUAACCGCUAGGCCGCCAGGGAAACCCCCAAGGUCUGCUGUUAAAGGCUGACGGUGCCUCUUCAGCUUGACCAGCUCCAACUUGACAAGAAGUUGCUGGUGGGCCCCAGGCAUGCCCAGCUGAGCCAGGGGACCCCGCCAUCCCGUCUGCACCCCCCUCCCCGGGCAGACGGUCUCACAACGGCAGCACAGAGGAGCAGGGCAGCCAGGAGGGACGCCGGAGCAGAGAAAGAAGGAAAGGGUUCUCCCGGCGCCCACAGUGGAAGCUGGGAGCUCUCUGCUGCGGGCAGAACUUGUAUCAAAGACGAGGUUCGUUGCUGGUGUCGUCAGGCUGAGCCUCACCCGGGCCUUUGUGAGCCGUUCCCGACUGUCUGCCCAAGACAGCGCUUUCCUUCGUGAGUUCCGAGAAACAGACUCACUGAAACCGUCUUGAAACACAAGUCCUCUGCCAGCUUUCAUUCCGUGGUGUCUGCAGUUCAAACCCCUGUGUGUGCUCCCCAGGCCUCAGAGUCAGGCUUGAAAGGAUGGAAACCCACGUGCACCCACCCCAGGCGGCCUAAAAAACAGUUACUGGCGACUCACUACACAUAUGUCCAGUUCAGCCUUAUAGACACCGUGAAAACCAAGGCUAUUCGCUCACUCUCUGCGGAUCAAAGGUACCACGUCUAAAACGAUUUGAGUUGUUUUAAUGAUGCUGCUGUGGAUUCACUUGGGAAAACAACCUUUCCUCUUUCAUGCUUCUUCAGCAAUGAAGGAAUGAAGCCUGUCACAUGAGCUCCACCUUUGAAAACGGUCUUGGUUAUUCACCCACAUAGAACAGACUCACAGAUUCCUUCUUCCACGUGGAAGAAGGACUGUCCCUAAGGACUGUGGCAGAACCGUCUCUGGGACUCUGCAUGGGUCAUGGGUGUGGAUCAGGGCUGAUUGAAAAGAAAAGUCACUGAGGGGGCGGGGCCAGAGCCACUUACUUGAACAUCUCGCUCCGCUCUAUCGUGGCGAGCCAAAAGCUGUAAGCGUUGGCGUAGUAAUUGCAAGUUCCGCGGCCGUGGCACUCGAUGAAGGGGGCGCUCCUGAACUCCUCCAGACACGAGCCGGGGGAGGCGAGGGCCUGG